GGGUGCGAUCAUACCAGCACUAUUGCACCGGAUCCCAUCAGAACUCCGAAGUUAAGC
rnacentral:rRNA from 1 species